CCUACGUGAGGCAGCAGUGAGGAAUAUUGGUCAAUGGGCGCGAGCCUGAACCAGCCAAGUAGCGUGAAGGAUGACUGCCCUACGGGUUGUAAACUUCUUUUAUAAAGGAAUAAAGUGAGGCACGUGUGCCUUUUUGUAUGUACUUUAUGAAUAAGGAUCGGCUAACUCCGUGCCAGCAGCCGCGGUAAUACGGAGGAUCCGAGCGUUAUCCGGAUUUAUUGGGUUUAAAGGGAGCGUAGAUGGGUUGUUAAGUCAGUUGUGAAAGUUUGCGGCUCAACCGUAAAAUUGCAAUUGAUACUGGCAGUCUUGAGUACAGUUGAGGUAGGAGGAAUUCGUGGUGUAGCGGUGAAAUGCUUAGAUAUCACGAAGAACUCCGAUUGCGAAGGCAGCUUACUAAACUGCCACUGACAUUGAUGCUCGAAAGUGUGGGUAUCAAACAGGAUUAGAUACCCUAGUAGUC
rnacentral:rRNA from 1 species